CUGGCCCUGAAUCAAGGCCAGCAGUUUCCUGAUGCUGAAGCAGGAGCCUAAAGAGAUGUCUCUCUAUGGUCUGUUGGGCAUUUCAGAACUUAGGCGGUAAAAUAGUCAAUUUGUUAGAAAGAAACAGCU
ensembl:snoRNA